AUUGAACGCUGGCGGCAGGCCUAACACAUGCAAGUCGAGCGGAUGAAGGGAGCUUGCUCCUGGAUUCAGCGGCGGACGGGUGAGUAAUGCCUAGGAAUCUGCCUGGUAGUGGGGGAUAACGUCCGGAAACGGGCGCUAAUACCGCAUACGUCCUGAGGGAGAAAGUGGGGGAUCUUCGGACCUCACGCUAUCAGAUGAGCCUAGGUCGGAUUAGCUAGUUGGUGGGGUAAAGGCCUACCAAGGCGACGAUCCGUAACUGGUCUGAGAGGAUGAUCAGUCACACUGGAACUGAGACACGGUCCAGACUCCUACGGGAGGCAGCAGUGGGGAAUAUUGGACAAUGGGCGAAAGCCUGAUCCAGCCAUGCCGCGUGUGUGAAGAAGGUCUUCGGAUUGUAAAGCACUUUAAGUUGGGAGGAAGGGCAGUAAGUUAAUACCUUGCUGUUUUGACGUUACCAACAGAAUAAGCACCGGCUAACUUCGUGCCAGCAGCCGCGGUAAUACGAAGGGUGCAAGCGUUAAUCGGAAUUACUGGGCGUAAAGCACGCGUAGGUGGUUCAGCAAGUUGGAUGUGAAAUCCCCGGGCUCAACCUGGGAACUGCAUCCAAAACUACUGAGCUAGAGUACGGUAGAGGGUGGUGGAAUUUCCUGUGUAGCGGUGAAAUGCGUAGAUAUAGGAAGGAACACCAGUGGCGAAGGCGACCACCUGGACUGAUACUGACACUGAGGUGCGAAAGCGUGGGGAGCAAACAGGAUUAGAUACCCUGGUAGUCCACGCCGUAAACGAUGUCGACUAGCCGUUGGGAUCCUUGAGAUCUUAGUGGCGCAGCUAACGCGAUAAGUCGACCGCCUGGGGAGUACGGCCGCAAGGUUA
rnacentral:rRNA from 1 species